rnacentral:lncRNA from 1 species
UAAAGUGCGCUAAGGCUUUGCGCUAUGACAAAAAUAGUUCAUUCCACUAUUUGAAAAAAUAGUGUUUCAUAAUAAAAGUUCUUAGUAAGCGUCCCAGUCUACGGAAACUAAUACAGAAAUUUCUAUUAUAAAACAUCACCUUUGGGGCACCUGGGUGGCUCAGUCUAGUUAAGUGUCUACCUUUGGCUCAGUUCAUGAUCCCAGGGUGGUGGGAUCGAGUGCCUCGUCUGACUCCCUGCUACUUCUGUCCCCCCGCCCCUCACCCUGUUCAUAUGUAUAUAUAAUAAAAUCUUUUUUUUUAAAAAAAAUAAAGCAUUAUCUUUGGUAAAACAUGAAAAAUAGAAAAUGUUAUAUUUUUGAUAGUUUCUACAUAGGACAGAGCUUUCUAGCGAAAGUACAGAUAGCGGUAUGGUCUAGUUAAAAUGGUUAAGCCCACUUGUUUUGGUAGUUAUUUCCUUGUAGUUAUCCCCCCCCGCCCCAAAAUUAGAGGAACUAAUAAUUCGUUCCAAGGGACUUAGAUUUUAAUCCAAUAAACAUUCAUAUUUAUAUUUACUCUUUAAUUAAAAAAAUACAAGGAAAUCCAGUACUAUAAUAACGUCAUAUCAAGAAAAUUCUGCAGGAAGCCGCUGGAAGAAUGCGAGUUUGAGCGAGGGAGCAUGUGGGACGUUCGUUGAAGUGCCCUUAUUAUGACUACCGUAGGCCUAUUUUGUUGGACUUGAAUAUGGGAGGUGUCUCUGGACCUGGGGCAAUCUUGCUAGUUUGCCUAUUCCUGUUCCAGGGCAAUUUUUGUAAGAGACAUUCUAUAGUUACUUGCUGAGUAGCCUUGAGGGAUUAUAACUAAUCAAAAAUUAUACCUCAUCAAAUAUUCUGCUCAUAGAGCACAUUUGGGGUUCCCUACACUUGCAAUGCUUUUGUUCAUUUUCCUGAAUGUACUUUGCAAGGCUACAUCCAAACAUGAAUGGAGGACCCGGAAAGAAGAAAGAAAGCCAAUGUUCUAGGAUUGCUGAAACUUUCAAGCCAAGAUGUUUACAUAUAAUAUUCCAACAUGCCUGGCCACCUGGAAAAUAGCCAUUGCUGCUGAGAUUGUUCUAAAGGGACAGAGAGAGGUAAGCUAUGAUUGACUUAUCAGAAUGGCAGGUUCAGCUUUGUUUUAAGGCGGUUUUAGGACCCCUUUGUGUUAUGUGUCCUCAGUUUUUAAAAAGGAUUUUAUUUUUAAAACCUACAACAUUCACUUGUGGCUAAGAGCUCCUAAUACGUUGAGCGCGAAACUUUUCGAAAAAACCUCAAUCCUAACCACUUUGGUAUAUGGUUACGGUUCCCACGUGAAAAUAAACUAGGAUUAUGAAGGUGUUUUUCAUCAUGUUUCCUGAUGGAAUUGUGUAUAUAUCUAUCUUUAUAGGGUCCACACGUUUUAUGAGCAGAUAUCGCCUGAAAGACGUUACAUCUUUGUGCAUUCACUGUGGACAAU